AUCCACCACUACUUCUUCUAUCUUGAAAUUCAAACCUUUCUAUCUACCUAGCUCCUAUACUUUUGUUUGUUUGAACAAGUUCCUAUAACUUCUAUAGCUAGUGACAUGUAGUAUAUUACUAUAUUCACAUGAGAAGGUGCAUGUUGAGCAUGAUGGAGAAGCAGGGCACGUGCAAUACUAACUUACCAUAGAAUUCACAUUAUUAUUACUAUGCUUGAUUUCAUAUGGAAGAGUUUCAAGUAUAUCAGCAUAUAUUAGAAAUCAAAUAUUGGUGUUCUAGUAGUUUUUGCAGAUGAUUCUGAUCAUAAAAUAUAUACAUUAUGACUGGAACACUAGUGUUCUUAAUAUAUCAGGGCAUGGGUGGCUUCUUUUGCUUCAUAAAAUUGCUUACAUUUGCCUGGUACACUGUAAUGUUCUCUAUACUAUUUUCUCGCUAAUGGAGGAGUUAGUUCUUCAUGUGCCCCUCUUCCCCAUCAUGAUGACAGCACCUGAAAUAUUAUAGCAUUUGGAAAUGGGAAAUCUGCUGAAAGCUAAGGAUCUCAUGGAGAAAUUUUUGAUUGGCUUCUAUGUUUCCACACAUUGAAGAAAAUGUGGCGUAUUGUUUUGUUUUCAUAAAACUCUGAGGAAAUUAAUGUUAAGAAGGAUCUUCAUGAUAUCCCACGCCAUGAAAUUAACAAGGUCAUUUGCCAAGAAAUCUAUAUAGAAAAAUAUUUGUUUUAUGUAGAACAAUGACCUGAGGAAGCUAAUGAAAACUUGGAUGAAGUGGUGGCUCUCGCUAGAGACCUUCAAACUGAGUUAAGAUAACUGGUGGAUCCUUGGAGGAAUCGAGGGAAGCACUUGCAAUAGUUGAAAGUGAUGGUUUGUUACAUUACCAUCAUUUUCUCUUUAUGAAUCUCGGAUUCCAAAUGUGGAUAAUUUUGUUGUAUUUUGUGCGUCAUAGGACGACUGUUCUGCACAGUCGGUGUGCAUUCGACACGUUGCAAGGAAUUCGAGGAGAGUAGAGAUCCAGAAAAUCAUUUCUAGGCUCUUGUGUCGUUAGCUAAAGAGGGAAUUCAAAAAGGAAAGGUUCACUGCCGGAGUUGCACAUUCUUUUACUGGUAGCACGGAUGAUUGCAAUAAGCUUCUUUCCUUUGAUAACAUGUACCUAGGUGAUCCAUAGUUGAGCUUUAUUACACUUUUAACCAUUUGAAGUCACCUAGACCUAGGUAUGUCUAAUUUAAAUGUUACCUACCUGUAAAUAUAACCACAACUAAUUUUUCGGUGCUGAUUACAAGCUCUUCGGGGUAAAAAUGAUAUAUGUACUUUGGAAAAGCUGUGCUUUCUCAUAACUUUUUAUCUAAAAAGUAGAAAAUAUGAACGUCGUGUUUCCCUUCUUGCUCUUGGUUUGAUUCAAUAUCUAUUUCUUUUGUUUGGCACUCUAACAAGCAUAAAUGGGUGCUCUCUCAAGACAACUGAGAACCUUGAUGUUGUGAGGGAUAUUCCUAUUGAGAAAAUGAUGAUUGAGCCAGCCAAGGAGGCACGGAAGAGGGUCAACCUUAAUUUUCUCAAGGGUUUUUUUCACUUUAUGUAAAUAGAAUUUUUUUUCUUUGCUUGUUUUUUGUAUACA